rnacentral:tRNA from 1 species
GUGGCUGUAGUUCAAUGGCAGAGCAACGGAUUGUGGUUCCGUAUGUUGCGGGUUCAAAUCCCGUCAGCCACCCCA